rnacentral:rRNA from 1 species
CCUACGGGUGGCAGCAGGGGGGAAUAUUGGACAAUGGGGGCAACCCUGAUCCAGCCAUGCCGCGUGUGUGAAGAAGGCCCUCGGGUUGUAAAGCACUUUCAGUGAGGAAGAACGCCUGGUGGUUAAUACCCAUCAGGAAAGACAUCACUCACAGAAGAAGCACCGGCUAACUCCGUGCCAGCAGCCGCGGUAAUACGGAGGGUGCGAGCGUUAAUCGGAAUUACUGGGCGUAAAGCGCGCGUAGGUGGCUUGAUAAGCCGGUUGUGAAAGCCCCGGGCUCAACCUGGGAACGGCAUCCGGAACUGUCAAGCUUGAGUGCAGGAGAGGAAGGUGGAAUUCCCGGUGUAGCGGUGAAAUGCGUAGAGAUCGGGAGGAAUACCAGUGGCGAAGGCGGCCUUCUGGACUGACACUGACACUGAGGUGCGAAAGCGUGGGUAGCAAACAGGAUUAGAUACCCGUGUAGUC